GAGCUAGAGAGGAGAGAAAAAGAUUCAUGCCUUAGGGUGUUACUAUCUAUUUAUAGUAGGGCACACAUGUUAAUAUUACAUUUUUGUCCCUAGUUUAGCAUUUUAGGUAAAAAUAUAUUUAUAGUUCUAUCAAUAAUAAAAUGUUUAAGGUUAAGGAAAUGAACAAUAGUCAAUAAAGAACUGAUGGUGUAACCAAAAAAAAAAAGAACAAAUAGUGCA
rnacentral:misc_RNA from 1 species